rnacentral:rRNA from 1 species
GAUGAACGCUGGCGGCGUGCCUAAUACAUGCAAGUCGAGCGAACAGAUGAGGAGCUUGCUCCUCUGACGUUAGCGGCGGACGGGUGAGUAACACGUGGAUAACCUACCUAUAAGACUGGGAUAACUUCGGGAAACCGGAGCUAAUACCGGAUAAUAUAUAGAACCGCAUGGUUCAAUAGUGAAAGACGGUUUUGCUGUCACUUAUAGAUGGAUCCGCGCCGCAUUAGCUAGUUGGUAAGGUAACGGCUUACCAAGGCAACGAUGCGUAGCCGACCUGAGAGGGUGAUCGGCCACACUGGAACUGAGACACGGUCCAGACUCCUACGGGAGGCAGCAGUAGGGAAUCUUCCGCAAUGGGCGAAAGCCUGACGGAGCAACGCCGCGUGAGUGAUGAAGGUCUUCGGAUCGUAAAACUCUGUUAUUAGGGAAGAACAAAUGUGUAAGUAACUAUGCACGUCUUGACGGUACCUAAUCAGAAAGCCACGGCUAACUACGUG